ACGUACUAUUCCACUCUCUAACCUUAUCAUCACUUCAAUACACAAACCCAGCGCGAGACUUAGCAGUGUCUAGUGUCAGAGCGCAACAGUAGCAGCUCGAUCGCCUCGCCUCGCCUCGCCUCGUCCAUGGAGGACGACGACGACGACUUCACGUUCCCCGCGCCGGCGGCGACGGCGGUGGCGGCGGCGGCGACGUCGUCGCUGGCACCGAGCAGCCAGGGCGGCCUCCUCUGGCCAUUCUCAUCCACGAUGGCUACGGCGGACGACGACGACGACGACGACGCGGCGUCGGGCGGCCAGGCGGUGGCGGCGACGGCGCCGGUAGCAGCAGCACGGCGCGUCGACGAGGAGGAGGAGGAGGAGCGGAUGGACCAGCUGUGGGAGCGCGACCGCGACGCGCGCGCCGGCGACGAGGAGAGGAUGGACCUGCUGUGGGAGGACUUCAACGACGAGCUCCUGCUUCAGCUCCGGCGCCGCCAGCAGCAGCGCGCGGCGGCCGGGACGCCUCCGUCACCGUCACCCGCGGCGGCGGCCGACGACGACGACGAGGAGGAGACGCCGUCGUCGUCCCCACCGGGAGGAGGAGGAGGGCUGUACGGGUGCGCGCCGACGAUGCUGAGGGCGUCGUCGCGGGCGGGCGCCGUGGGCCAGUUCUACGGCGGCCGCCGUGGCGGCGGCGGCGGGAGCAGGGCGACGACGGGGUGGGAGCUGCUGCUGAGGCUCUUCCGGAAGCUGUUCGCCGUCGACAAGUCGUCGCCGUCGCCGGAGCCGCCGUGCCGCCACCACCAUCGCCGCCACGGGAGCAUCUACGUGCCAUGAUUAGCGCUAGCUUACUCUUAAUUACUAUUCUCUCGCCGCACAUACAUUCGCGGCAAAGUAAUUAAUUAACCUACUGUGUGUAAUUAAAAGCAUCUUCUGGAGCUCAGCUCAGUGUUUUUUUUUCCCUUUUCAAAAUUAAAUGCACACCAUGUAUGCAUAAUCGAUCGUACAGUCAACAUUAGGAUUUAAAUUCAGUUAUAAAUGUUGAGGAGUUCUUGGUUUUGUUUUUUCUGGGUAAGAGGAAAAUUAUUGCUUUUGUUUCCCCA
rnacentral:lncRNA from 1 species